UGUUCUUUUCUAGUUCCCAGGAGAAAGCAGGCUGCGUGGCUUGCAAGCGCCAUACGUGAAUAGAUUGUGAAAAAUGAUCUCAUGAAUACGCAAGCAUGUCAUCAUAUCCAACCUGAGGGCAUCUGGUAACUGGAUGAAGUCACAGUUUAGAAAAUACAACAAUGAAGAAACCGUUCCUCCUCAGCCACAAAGAACAGAAAGCUGCUAGUACUACCCGCAGAUCACAGAAACUUGGAGCUGUCCUGACCCUACUAGACGAACCCCAGCUGAUACCAAGAAGCCAGAAAACUGGAAUGCCUUUGUUAUGUACUUCACCAUGAAAAGUCCUGUUCAUCACAUCAUCUGCCUCAGAGCAAGGGAGAAAUGAGGGCACAGAGGAAUAUUGCUUCAUAAAGCACAAAGUAAUGUCAAUGGGC